rnacentral:tRNA from 1 species
ACGUAGCUCAGCUGGAUAGAGCAUCCGCCUUCUAAGCGGACGGUCGAGGGUUCGAAUCCCCCCGU